GCUAAGACUGGAUAGGAAGUUUUAAGGCAUCUUGAAACUUUUAAAAGACCCGCAAGGGUAUGCUGAGAGAUGGGCUUGCGGCACAUUAGUUAGUUGGUAAGGUAACGGCUUACCAAGACCAUGAUGUGUAGCUGGACUGAGAGGUUGAACGGCCACAUUGGGACUGAGAUACGGCCCAAACUCCUACGGGAGGCAGCAGUAAGGAAUUUUCGGCAAUGGAGGAAACUCUGACCGAGCAACGCCGCGUGAACGAUGAAGUAUUUAGGUAUGUAAAGUUCUUUUAUUAAAGAAGAAAAAAUGAUGGAAAAAUCAUUCUGACGGUAUUUAAUGAAUAAGCCCCGGCUAACUAUGUGCCAGCAGCUGCGGUAAUACAUGGGGGGCAAGCGUUAUCCGGAUUUAUUGGGCGUAAAGGGUGCGUAGGCGGUUUAAUAAGUCUAUGGUCUAAGUUCAACGCUUAACGUUGUGAUGCUAUAGAAACUGUUUGACUAGAGUUGGAUAGAGGCAAGUGGAAUUCCAUGUGUAGCGGUAAAAUGCGUAAAGAUAUGGAGGAACACCAGUAGCGAAGGCGGCUUGCUGGGUCUUAACUGACGCUGAGGCACGAAAGCGUGGGGAGCAAACAGGAUUAGAUACCCUGGUAGUCCACGCCGUAAACGAUGAGUACUAAGUGUUGGGUUAAACCAGUGCUGAAGUUAACGCAUUAAGUACUCCGCCUGAGUAGUACGUACGCAAGUAUGAAACUUAAAGGAAUUGACGGGACUCCGCACAAGCGGUGGAUCAUGUUGUUUAAUUCGAAGAUACACGAAAAACCUUACCAGGUCUUGACAUACUCUGCAAAGCUAUAGAAAUAUAGUGGAGGUUAUCAGGGAUACAGGUGGUGCAUGGUUGUCGUCAGCUCGUGUCGUGAGAUGUUGGGUUAAGUCCCGCAACGAGCGCAACCCUUAUCGCUAGUUACCAUCAUUUAGUUGGGCACUUUAGUGAGACUGCCAAUGAUAAAUUGGAGGAAGGUGGGGAUUACGUCAAAUCAUCAUGCCCCUUAUGACCUGGGCUACAAACGUGAUACAAUGGCUGUUACAAAGAGUAGCUGAAGCGUGAGUUUUUAGCAAAUCUCAAAAAAACAGUCUCAGUUCGGAUUGAAGUCUGCAACUCGACUUCAUGAAGUCGGAAUCGCUAGUAAUCGCGAAUCAGCAUGUCGUGGUGAAUACGUUCUCGGGGUUUGUACACACCGCCCGUCAAACCAUGAAA
rnacentral:rRNA from 1 species